UACGAAGGGGGCUAGCGUUGUUCGGAAUUACUGGGCGUAAAGCGUAUGUAGGCGGAUCGUUAAGUCGGGGGUGAAAUCCCGAGGCUCAACCUCGGAACUGCCUUCGAUACUGGCGAUCUUCGAGUCCGGGAGAGGUGAGUGGAACUCCGAGUGUAGAGGUGAAAUUCGUAGAUAUUCGGAAGAACACCAGUGGCGAAGGCGGCUCACUGGUCCGGUACUGACGCUGAGGUGCGAAAGCGUGGGGAGCAACCAGG
rnacentral:rRNA from 1 species